UACGGAGGGGGCUAGCGUUGUUCGGAAUUACUGGGCGUAAAGCGUGCGCAGGCGGUUUCGUAAGUCUGUCGUGAAAGCCCCGGGCUCAACCUGGGAAUGGCGAUGGAGACUGCGAGGCUAGAGUGUGUCAGAGGGGGGUAGAAUUCCACGUGUAGCAGUGAAAUGCGUAGAUAUGUGGAGGAACACCGAUGGCGAAGGCAGCCCCCUGGGAUAACACUGACGCUCAUGCACGAAAGCGUGGGGGAGCAAACAGG
rnacentral:rRNA from 1 species